rnacentral:rRNA from 1 species
GACGAACGCUGGCGGCGUGCUUAACACAUGCAAGUCGAACGGAAAGGCCCUGCUUUUGUUGGGUGCUCGAGUGGCGAACGGGUGAGUAACACGUGAGUAACCUGCCCCUGACUGUGGGAUAACUUCAGGAAACUGGGGCUAAUACCGGAUAGGAGCUCCUGCUGCAUGGUGGGGGUUGGAAAGUUUCGGCGGUUGGGGAUGGACUCGCGGCUUAUCAGCUUGUUGGUGGGGUAGUGGCUUACCAAGGGUUUGACGGGUAGCCGGCCUGAGAGGGUGACCGGCGACAUUGGGACUGAGAUAGGGCCCAGACUCCUACGGGAGGCAGCAGUGGGGAAUAUUGCACAAUGGGCGGAAGCCUGAUGCAGCAACGCCGCGUGCGGGAUGACGGCCUUCGGGUUGUAAACCGCUUUCGCCUGUGACGAAGCGUGAGUGACGGUAAUGAGUAAAGAAGCACCGGCUAACUACGUG